UACAGAGGUCUCAAGCGUUGUUCGGAUUCAUUGGGCGUAAAGGGUGCGUAGGCGGCGCGGUAAGUCGGGUGUGAAAUCCCGAGGCUCAACCUCGGGUCUGCAGUCGAUACGAGCAAACUAGAGUGUUGCAGGGGAGACUGGAAUUCCUGGUGUAGCGGUGAAAUGCGCAGAUAUCAGGAGGAACACCGGUGGCGAAGGCGGGUCUCUGGGCAACAACUGACGCUGAGACGCGAAAGCGUGGGGAGCAAACAGG
rnacentral:rRNA from 1 species